UAUGGAAUAGGAUGUCUUCUGAUUCCUCUCGGUGUGCCUCUUAUUGAAAUAAGCCGCAACGCUAAUCUUUGGUGCGAUAAUUGGAACAUGGGUAGUGUACAUUGAGCCACCAACAUUUGGUAUCCCUGACAUUGAUUCAUGCUCGCUCUUAAUCAUCCUCAUUUUCUCCUCAUCAGGCCAUUGAAGGAACUUGGGCAUCAAUACAGUCUUUAUAGCCGAGCAGACCUCUAAAACCAA
rnacentral:misc_RNA from 1 species